AGCGAACGCUGGCGGCAGGCCUAACACAUGCAAGUCGAACGAACCUUUCGGGGUUAGUGGCGGACGGGUGAGUAACACGUGGGAACGUGCCUUUAGGUUCGGAAUAACUCAGGGAAACUUGUGCUAAUACCGAAUGUGCCCUUCGGGGGAAAGAUUUAUCGCCUUUAGAGGGGCCCGCGUCUGAUUAGCUAGUUGGUUGAGGUAAUGGCUCACCAAGGCGACGAUCAGUAGCUGGUCUGAGAGGAUGAUCAGCCACAUUGGGACUGAGACACGGCCCAAACUCCUACGGGAGGCAGCAGUGGGGAAUCUUGCGCAAUGGGCGAAAGCCUGACGCAGCCAUGCCGCGUGAAUGAUGAAGGUCUUAGGAUUGUAAAAUUCUUUCACCGGGGACGAUAAUGACGGUACCCGGAGAAGAAGCCCCGGCUAACUUCGUG
rnacentral:rRNA from 1 species